rnacentral:rRNA from 1 species
GACGAACGCUGGCGGCGUGCUUAACACAUGCAAGUCGAACGGAAAGGCCCUGCUUUUGUGGGGUGCUCGAGUGGCGAACGGGUGAGUAACACGUGAGUAACCUGCCCUUGACUUUGGGAUAACUUCAGGAAACUGGGGCUAAUACCGGAUAGGAGCUCCUGCUGCACGGUGGGGGUUGGAAAGUUUCGGCGGUUGGGGAUGGACUCGCGGCUUAUCAGCUUGUUGGUGGGGUAGUGGCUUACCAAGGCCUUGACGGGUAGCCGGCCUGAGAGGGUGACCGGCCACAUUGGGACUGAGAUACGGCCCAGACUCCUACGGGAGGCAGCAGUGGGGAAUAUUGCACAAUGGGCGGAAGCCUGAUGCAGCAACGCCGCGUGCGGGAUGACGGCCUUCGGGUUGUAAACCGCUUUCGCCUGUGACGAAGCGUGAGUGACGGUAAUGGGUAAAGAAGCACCGGCUAACUACGUG